ensembl:miRNA Mir7225 microRNA 7225
ACGUAGACUGUGUAGAAGCCCUCUUGGCACUGCUUCUAGACAGCCUCUGCAGCA